rnacentral:rRNA from 1 species
CCCUAAGCUUCCAAGAAAAGCCUCUAAGGUUCAGUUGAAGAGUGACCGUACCGCAAACCGACACAGGCGGGCAGGGUGAGAAUCCUAAGGCGCUUGAGAGAACUCUGGAGAAGGAACUCGGCAAAUUGACACCGUAACUUCGGGAUAAGGUGUGCCUCUAUUACGUGAAGACCCUCGCGGUCAGAGCGGAAGGAGGUUGCAGUGAAAAGGUGGCUGCGACUGUUUAACAAAAACACAGCACUGUGCAAACACGAAAGUGGACGUAUACGGUGUGACGCCUGCCCGGUGCCGGAAGGUUAAGUGAUGGGGUGCAAGCUCUUGAUCGAAGCCCCGGUAAACGGCGGCCGUAACAAUAACGGUCCUAAGGUAGCGAAAUUCCUUGUCGGGUAAGUUCCGACCCGCACGAAUGGCGUAACGAUGGCCACACUGUCUCCUCCAGAGACUCAGCGAAAUUGAAGUGUUUGUGAAGAUGCAAUCUCCCCGCGGCUAGACGGAAAGACCCCAUGAACCUUUACUGCAGCUUUGCAUUGGACUUUGACGGGACAUGUGUAGGAUAGGUGGGAGGCUGUGAAGCGGUGACGCUAGCCAUUGUGGAGCCAACCUUGAAAUACCACCCUUGUGUCUUUGAGGUUCUAACCUAGACCCCUUAUCGGGGUCGGGGACCGUGCAUGGUGGGCAGUUUGACUGGGGCGGUCUCCUCCCAAAAGGUAACGGAGGAGCACGAAGGUUGGCUAGACACGGUCGGAAAUCGUGUUGAUAGUGCAAGGGCAUAAGCCAGCUUAACUGCGAGACCCACAAGUCGAGCAGAUGCGAAAGCAGGUCCUAGUGAUCCGGUGGUUCUGUAUGGAAGGGCCAUCGCUCAACGAAUAAAAGGUACUCUGGGGAUAACAGGCUGAUUCCGCCCAAGAGUUCACAUCGACGGCGGAGUUUGGCACCUCGAUGUCGGCUCAUCUCAUCCUGGGGCUGUAGCCGGUCCCAAGGGUAUGGCUGUUCGCCAUUUAAAGAGGUACGUGAGCUGGGUUCAAAACGUCGUGAGACAGUUUGGUCCCUAUCUGCCGUGGGCGCUGGAGAUUUGACGGGGGCUGCUCCUAGUACGAGAGGACCGGAGUGGACGAACCUCUGGUGUACCGGUUAUCACGCCAGUGGUAUCGCCGGGUAGCUAAGUUCGGAAGAGAUAAACGCUGAAAGCAUCUAAGCGUGAAACUCGCCUGAAGAUGAGAUCUCCCGGAGGCUUGACCUCCUUGAAGGGUCGUUGAAUACCACAACGUUGAUAGGCUGGGUGUGGAAGCGCAGUAAUGCGUUAAGCUAACCAGUACUAAUUGCCCGUAAGGCUUGACCC